rnacentral:lncRNA from 1 species
CCAUAUGAUUUUUUCUUAAUCAUUUACCUUUUUUACAGAAAUAUACACGAAAAAUUUGGUUAAGGAAAUGAGUUUAAUUCUAAAAGAUAUUGGCUCCUCACAAGUGUACAUCCUAAAGUAAGUUUUAGAUAUAACAUGUAAAUGUAAUCUUCCUAUCCAGAUAACCGCAAUUUCCAAAGAUACAAAUGAGUAAUUUUUUAAGUAAGAUUCAAAGAUAAUAUCCUGAUCCAUCGGAGUAAUGUCCAAUAUUCGAAUAACUUACUAACUGCUAUAUGUGUUAUUUUAAUUGAUUAUCUUAAAGUUAGUCAAAGGGUAGAUCAUUGUUUUGCUCUCAAAAUUAAGGCCCAACAGACAAAAUAUCUAAAAGCUUUCCCGUUUGAUGUUAAAAGGUAAAUACUCAUUAAUACUAUUAUAAAAAGAAAAUAUAAAUAAAUCCUCUCAUGAUUAAAGUCAAUGGUACAAUAUCGUAAGUAAGGUGAAAUUAGUAGACUUUCCGCAAAGAGAGGCAAAAGUUGUACAAAAGGGACGAUAGCAAUCACUUUUCUUUCGAGUGCCCUUCACAAAGAAGUAAGAGAAAUGAUGUUUUUAAAUUGAAAUAUAUGCUUUAUCAAUUGUGCUAAUAAUGGCUGGUGACGGUGACCAAUAAUAUUAACAAAAUAAAGAAAUUGUUUAGUUUGUACAACCUUAUAUAAGAAUAACUCAAAGAUUUAGAACAUUCUAUCUGAAUUCCUACUUGUUUACUCAUCACGUCAUUCCAGUCUCAUCAUAUACUUCAUUUAUCUUGUAUUUUUUAUUUUUUAUUUUUUAUUUUUUAUUUUUUGUUUUUUAUUUAUUUAUUUUUUUUUUUGUAUUUUGUAUUUCAUACAUUCCUACAUGUUUUAUCUAAUGUAGUUUGAGUGUAAACUUGUAUGUGGAGAUGACGUCACUAUAAUGUUGUAAUAACUUGUGUGUGGAGAUGACGUCACUAUAAUUUUGUAAUAACUUGUGUGUGGAGAUGACGUCACUAUAAUCUUGUAAUAACUUGUAUGUGGAGAUGACGUAAAUAUAAUGUUGUAAUAACUUAUGUACAAUCCUGUUGCUCCUUUUCCAAAUGAAAUAUGUUGAAACUACUACCAAAGGGAUAUUAUAGUCAAUAGUUCGAAAAUAAUUUGACAAUUUUAUGAUAAAAAAAUAUCAUCGACCAAUAGACAAAAAACUGUACACAAAACACAACAUAGAAAAAUAAAACACUGAGUAACACAAACCCCGCCAAAACAAGAUAAGCUCGCAGGUAAUCAUGAAAGGUAAGCAGAUCCUGCUUUAUAUAAUACACCUGUCGUACUGCUUAUAUAAGUACAACAUAGGUAAUAAGUCUAAUUUUGUAGGUUAGAUUCGUUAAAUAGAGGAAUGGAGUGUGGUAACGACAAUUAGACAUAUACUUUGUAAUUUGUGAAAUAUCAGCAAAGCAAAUCGUGAUUGUGUUCGUCACUUUAUUGAAUGGAGGAUAUCAAUUUCAUCACCUUGGACACUUGGUUUGAUAGCUUCCUUUUAAAAGAGGGGCGAAAAAUACCAGAGCGACAGUCAAACUCAUAAAUCGAAAAUAAACUGACAACGCCAUGGUUAAGAAUGAAAAAGACAAACAAGCAAUAAUACACGUGACACAACAUAGAAUAUUAAAGAAUAAGCAACACGAACCCCUCCAAAACCUGGGGGUAAACUCAGGUGCUCCGGAAGGGUAUGCAGAUCCUGCUCCACAUGUGACACCCGUCGUGUGGCUCAUGUUAUAACACAUCCGGUAAAUAGUCUAAUUCGGUAGCAGCAACGCUUUAUCAAUCUCUGACAUAUUGUAUCAGCUAAGAGAUAUAUACUAUAUAUACAAGCGUUGCUGAAAUGUUACUACAUAAAAAAUGGAAAGUUCACAAUUGAGAAGCUGAAAUCAUUUUGUUUGUAGAAAUGAUUUGUUCUCAACCAAUCCUCAUUGUCAAUGUCUAGAGGUAAGUCAAGAUAUGGAGCAGACUUAUAUGUAUUUGUUGUAUAGUGAUAAAUACAAUAAUUUUAAAGUCGAAAGGUAGAACAUACAAUUGCUCUCCUAAGUAGGGUGGAAUUGGAAGACUAUUUAAAUGCUCUAUUAAGUGCAAAAGUAUAGCAAUCAACAUAGGGUGACUGCUUUGCCUGCUGUAAAUAUUUGCUCCCUUGACAUCUGGUCCCUUUUUAGAAAUUACCCUUUAAUCGACUGAAAAGAACUUGCAGAACAGAGAAAUGCAGGGUUUGAUAGAAGCAUACCGACGCACCUGUUCUUACUUUCUCGUGAACUAUUUUUGCAGAAAAAAUAGGUCUUCGUCAUUUCUUAUUGUCAAUAAAUAUUGUUUUUGUAUUUCUGAAAACAUUUUUCUUUUUAUAACCCAAGUGGUAUCAUUCAAAUCAUAUUCCCUUCAAACGAGUAAUGGAGUAUUAUAGUACAACUUGUAUAAAUCUGUUCUCGCAUUUUAAGCAUAUUUUUUUUCCUUUUAAUAUCAUUGUUCAAGUGUACUCACUGAAUACUUCUGCAUGCAACGUGCCGAUAUAUAAAAGACAAAGGACAAUGAUAGAAACAGAGUAAACACAGAGGUCAUGUUUGAUGUCUCCAUGUUGCUAAGAUGAACAUCCUUGACAUUCAAGUUGCAUACAAAUAUUGAAUUUUACUUUUUAAGUGGAGAGGUCUUUUGUAUUGAAUAUAAUUUACAAUUAAUUUUUUAAUAAAAACUAUUUAUAAACACCCUUAUC